rnacentral:lncRNA from 12 species
CUCUUAACCUGAACUCCCUGUGUUAAUCGAAAGCCAGGAAGACUUUGACCAUGCAGGCUCGGUUGCAUAACUGGUUUCAAUGCACUAUUGUUUUCCUGCCUGGUUUUUUCCAUGAUGGAAAUGAUUCGCGUGCCCUGCUGGGCAGGAGAUCAUAUUUAAAUGUUUCCUGGGUUUGAUCUCCAUAUGGGGCAUGAAUUCAUGCCUGUGCUAAGGCACAGGGUAAGUGGUAAAUAGAUUUAAUUAACUUAAAAGUAUUUGAGCCAUCAUUAUAGGCAGUGGUGACCUAUGAUGUGGACACCUGUUGCUUUCCAGCCUGGUCAGCACCAGAAAUUGCCGCAUUUUUACUUUAACAACUCAAAGGAGUUUGACAGUGGAGAAGCCAGGGUGGAGGUGGGGAAGCCAGGCCAGGAGCCAGGUGUCUAUAACGUAUUUCUGCUUUUGCUGUGAACCUGGGCAAGUCAUGACAUGUUCUAAAGAUUUACCGACUGUUCAAGGACGGUGAUGGGGUGAGGGUGGGUGUCCUAGCUAAUGGGUAAUGGAAGUUUGUAGACAGCUCCUUAGAGGAAUUCUAAAUGGCAAGCCACCUUCCAGGAAAAAGAGAUUCCCUUUCCUUCUCUACCGUGGCAGUGAACAGGGACCGUGCUGUUUGCAAAGAAGCCUCCACCCCCUUCUCCUGGCCCUUCCCCAACCAAAGUAGAUUGUCUCUUUGCCAGCUGCGUUCCUGGCUUUUCUGCUCUGGAAUCUGGGCAAGGUGGAGGGGGAGAGAAAGAAUUGGAGAGUCAAGGACACAAGUGAUGAUGAGCUCUCUGCAUCCUGAAUCCUUUCCAUUGGAAAACAGGAAGUGGUGUUUUACCCCCGCCUGCUCUCCCCACACCCAAGCUUUGUAGCUUCACUGGCUACCACGAGGCUGGUCAGGCGGCCUCCUCAGCAUCUGCUGCAGCUUCCUCCUCCUGUUUACUCCGGGUCUGCAAACGCUGGGGCGCUACACCUGCUCUUCCCAGGUGCUCUGCACUAGGGUUCUGGAUGGGAGGUAGUUUCUGCCACCCAGAGGCA